rnacentral:rRNA from 1 species
CCGGGUGGCCAUGGCGAGGGGGAAACGCCCGUUCCCAUCCCGAACACGGAAGCUAAGCCCCUCAGCGGCGAAAGUAGUUGGCUGGUGACGGCCUGCAAGGAUAGCACGCUGCCCGGA